CUUGCACGUUUUUAUUUUUACAAAAAUUCUGGGUGCGUACAAAUAACAUAUUUUCCCACUAAGUAUAUAUGUGAUCUCGAGAAGAGUUCAUCACCUUAACAUAACAUUAAUGUAACAUAUUAUCUAUUGGUUAGGUUUUGCUUGAUAUAUCCCCGUGUUUUCCCAAAAUGCAUGCAUGCAACAAUGUACAAUCAUUUUUAAUAUUAUCAAAUUAACGAUAUAACAGUUAACACAGGACUUGAAAAGCGGCCAAUUUUAAAUAUAAAAUGAAGCAUAUUUCUAGUAUAUGCAUCCUGUAAAAUACAACAGCAAUUUUGCAUUUGAAAGUCUAGGAUAGGAAACACGCGUCGAACUUUUUUGCCAAGAAAAAAACUUUCCUUAAUUUUAUGGUAAGUUGUACAAUCGCAAUUAUAUUGGAAACACUCUUUUCUUGCCCUGUGCUUUUUCUGUCACUAUAACAUUAUAAGCGCUGUUAACACCACGCAAUUUGUCUCGCUACUUGUCUCGCAAUGUUAACAAGAACAAUUUUAAUAUUGCAUUGCAAUCGUACAAUGCUUGUUGUAACCAAAAUGUUGCGAGACUUGAUGAUUGUAAGGCAUUUUACACCUUGUAAUUUCGCGUGUAACUUGGCCCAACAAAAUUGCAAGACAAGCGGCAUGAUAACUUCUAUAGUGUAACAGCGCCGCCUUAUAAACACCGAGGGGCGUUUCACUCCAAAAAAAAACUCCAAAAGAAAAGUGUACGAGAUUUUCAAACCAUAAAAAGUUCCCUGAUUAAUCCGUGGAGAUUUUGUAGAGGA
rnacentral:lncRNA from 1 species